GGAUACAACUUAGUCACUGAACAACAACAACGUGAAGAUCCUACCAAUUUCCUUUUCUGAAAAUAGCUCAAGGAUUCAUACCUUUUUCAUCCCCAGACUCAAGAUAAUAGAUUCUCAUAAUGAAGUGCAACCCUUUGCCUCCAUAUCCUCAUGUGCAUGCAUUCACCCAUAUAUCCAUCCAUCCAUCCAUCCAUCCAUCCAUCUACCUACCCACCUACCGACUCAUUCACCAGUGUUGGUUUACUGUUGUCCCAAGCCUAUCUGCCACAUACCGUCUACACUUAUGGUGAGUUAUUUCCCAGGAGGCUUCUCAGUCUAGCAUGCAAAUAGACUCCUUGCAGACAACAUAACCCAUCCAUCCAACAUUUCCAAAUGUUUCUGAAUUCAGUAGAGAACACAGCCUAACGCUCAAACUAGGAUCUUUAACAUCUGUCUGUCUUUCAGAUGUUUGUAGGUGCCAGUUAAGGAUUCUCACCACUUUGAAAAAUGGUGGGAAUGGAAAUACUAUACGGGCUGCAUUUGAGAACCAGACUGCAAAGACAGGCCAUGACAGCCGAUUCCUAGACUGAACAGAUUUGAUGGCCUAAGGACAACUUUGACCCCUUUGGGUUUCCUGCUGCCUCCUUGAAUUUUCUGGACAUCAUGUUUCUGCAUGCCCUGCACCUACCAGUGUGUGUGUGUUGGGUGGGGGGAAGUACUGAGGGUCUAGGCAGACCCACCAGCCACACUCAUGUCCCGGGAGAGCCCCGGGAAGGAAACCCUCCCCGAGUUGGCCCAGAGUGGACAGCCCGAGCUUCCCCACGCUGACUGGCCACUUGCCAAGAGGGAGAAUGUUGUAAAGUGCAUCACACAGGUGCCCUCUGGAGGGUCUCUCACUCAGCACCCGCAUAACUUAUUCUUGCUUCUUCUUGGAACAUUGGGAUUAUAAAUGUAACCCAGAUGUGGGCUGCGUCCCUCUUCACCUUGGAGAUGUUGCUAUAAUUGGCUUGGACCUCAGCCAAUACCACAAGUUGGAAAGACCUAAAGCCCUCCAUUUGGAUCUCAACAAGUUCAGAGACCCCCUGUGGAUGCUGCCUGACACCACCCUUUACUCCAUCCUCAAACCCCUGCCCGAUCCACAGGAAACCACCCACAGCAGGCAAGGGGUGAGAUUGUAGAUUUCACUGAUGCUUUGGGUAGCUCAGUGGUGAGUUUUUCUCCCUCCUUCUCUUUCAAAAAUAAAACAAGUUUUUCUCUGCCUCAAACAGAGCAGUUUAGCAACCAG